ACCGUAAUCACAGAUUAAAAGGAUGCACGCACUCAUGAAGAAGCAUUACGGCGAAGCGAAACUACGAGCCAAUAGUGAACCAAACUGGUCGAGGAUAGCAGAAACACCUAACAGAGUUUGCGUGCCAAAACAGCAGGGUACCCAAUGCGGACACUUCAUGGUUCAAUUUGCAAAAUACUGGAAUGGCAUUGAUCUCAUAAAAGAUGAUGAGGAUUUCCAUGUAAGUGAAUAGUACGAGAGCAACAAUUUUAUUUUUUAGAAGCAGCACUACUUGAAUACUUCAAUUAUCUCAUGAAAGAAAAAUAAAAGAAUAUCCGAUGACCUUCAUGCAGCAUAGAAACGUAGAUGCCGAGUGGAAACCAGAGUUCUUUUUUACAGCCAUAUUUGGUGAAACGAACCAAGUAAAGUGCGAGCAACUACCUGGAAGAAUCAAAGAAUUCAAACCAGAAACUUCAAACUUCUUUUCCACCAACAAAGGUAAGAAAAUCAUUUCUGGUUAUCUUUUUUUAAUGACCUACCCGUCCCACCCCAUCCCACGGUUGACCAAUGUCUUUCGUAUCACGAGAACUUACAUAUUACAUAUCUGCUUCCGCUAAUAGAAACAGAUGAAACAAAAAGGAAAAAAGGACGAAGCACUAGUCCAUACCCAAAACAUUCUCAUUGCUUCCAACACAUAAAGCUGGCAGGAGGAAUAUAAAAAGUGAGUUAUUUUCUAUUGCACCUCAAAAUAGUUGGACCGAGGCAAAAAAUAAUGUAAAAAAAAUCUGUUUCUCACUAACCCUGACCUCCAAAAUUAUUUUAUCUCCCUGUCGCAACAAAACUAUAUUUAGGCGCAUCCGUAGGGACAGUGAAAGCACGCAACUUACUGGAGCCCAACUGAAGGCAGUAUUUGGUCCAAGACCAGCACAGACGAACAUACCACAUCAUAUGGAAAAGAGGGUGCUCGAUGACAUAGCAGAAAUCUGGGAAAGCAGACAAGAUUCAAAAGAGAGUGACAGAGUAAUAUUAGGCCCAAACUUUGCAGAGGUAAACUUUUAAAAAGAAAAAUCUUGUCUAUACUGCAACACCUACUCUUGUUAUAUUGUUACACAGCUCUUUUUUCUAACAGUUUUUUGCAUCGUAAUUAUUGUUUGCAGCAUAUACUGAAAUUAAAUAAAGACAAAACUACUAUUCCAAAAUUUAAAAGUGAAUUGCAAAAAACAAAGAAUCAACUGGUUCCCAUGUAUCUCAAAGAAAAUCAACGGAAAAAGCUCUCAACAGCAAACAUGGUAACAUCCCUUUCCUCCGUGACAAAAUCACAAAAUAUGUGUUCUAUCAAAUUACUUUAUGUUAAACUGUCAGAAAACCAACAAGUAUUUUGUACGCAGAUAUUCAUUCCAAUGGAGAAGCAUGACCGCUACGUACUAUAUGUGCUAGACAAAUAUAAGCACAAAGUUCACAUUAUUGAUCCUCGAGAAGCGACUCCAGAGGAAUUUGAGAAAGAAAAUAUAGACGUGGAUAAAUUGGAUCCACAUGAAGCAUGUCGAGUUCUUCAGGAACAUGAAGACGCUCAAAAAGAAAGAGAAACACAGUUACAGGAAUAUCACGCUCAUAAGUCGGUAAUCGUAAGCAUUUAUACAUAACAAUUUUUUCAGUUUUACAAGUUGCAGUAUUAAAACAAUUACAAAAUGCAAUUCCCAGGUACCUAGGAUUAAAGAAGUCUUCAACACCAUACUUAAACAAACAAUGAAUCCAAAGAAAACAAGAUGGGCAGAUUCAUACCGUGCAAGAUGUUUCAGUGGUAGAAAAGGGUGAAUCACCAUUUGCUGUUUUAAAGCUUGCAUUCCUCUACAAUGGUGAAAAGUUUUCGACCUGGAAGAUUUGACAGUAAGUCUAUAUAUAUUUACUUAUAUACAACUUUUAUGCACCAACUCUAAUAAUAUAAUUAUCUUUUCGGCAAAAUUUCACAGGAUGAGGUCGAAGCCUGGAGGGCAGAGGCAAUGUACAUUCUCUUAAGCAGCGAGAUGAAUUAAGUCAAAGCUAAUGAAAUGGGUGACGAGAUUAGCAAGAUCUUCAGCAAGAAUGAAGACUAAAACUUUUGAUUUAGCCCGCAAGGCUAAUUCUAUCAAGACGUGACAAAACAAUUUAUCAAUAACUCGCGUUUGUAUGUAAUAUAGUUAGAAAUUGCGUGUUCAUGUUGAAAAAAGAACAUCAUUAGAGAGUGCCAGUACACUAUAAACAACAGUGCCCCUUCUUAUUUGUACGACAACAGUGACUCCCAAAACGAACCCUUACGCGUGACUCUAGAGACCACCCUCUCGUGCCUCCAGAGGCGACAUGGCCCUGUGCCACCAAAGCCUGGGUCACCAUGCCCCUGGGCAAUAUCCACACACACAUACCAAGAGCGCCUCAACCGUGGCUAGCUGCUACACACACGUGACUGUAGAUGAUUCACACUCGUGCCUCCGGAAGCGACAAGGCCCCAUGCCUCCGGACAAUACACACAUGUGCAUGCACGUACAUUCCUCUAGAGACUCAACCAUGGCUAGCUCCUACGCACACGUGACUACAUAUUCUUCAAACCCGUGCCUUUCAAAACAAAGGAGCUUGCCUUUUGCACAACCUGCUGUAUAAAAUUAAACGCGCCGCACGAACCAGCACGCUGCACGACCGAAACACACUUCGACCUAUGCCCCCCCUUUCAGAUGUUUAUGAAAAUUAAACGAGCCGAAGACGAGCAGGAGGUUCCCUCGCGCCGGAGGCGCCGUGUCACACACCGACGGACAACGUGCCGCACGAACCAGCACGCUGCACGACCGAAACACACUUCGACCUAUGCCCCCCUUCAAGAUGUUUAUGAAAAUUAAACGAGCCAAAGGCGAGCAGGAGGUUCCCUCGCGCCGGAGGCACCGUGUCACACCACGACGGACAACGCGCCGCACGAACUAGCACGCUGCACGACCAACACACACUUCGACCUAUGCCCCCCCUUCAAGAUGUUUAUGAAAA